rnacentral:misc_RNA from 1 species
GUCCGAAAAAGACACUUUAUUUUCCGAAAACAUGUUUUCGUUUUCUUGCCGUUAACCCCAAUACGACACCGCACAUCUCUCCUGAACGCAGAAAACGCUAAAACGCCUAUUGGACCGGAAACAUGUACGAAGGCAUGGGCGGCAAUUAGAUGGAGCAGUUCCACUGCAACGAGGCGAUCUCAGCCGUUGCUGACGAUGGAUUUUUGGGCGAAGAGGACGACGAUUACGAGGAUCUUUACAACGACGUCAAUGUGGGUGAGGGUUUCUUGCAAUCUAUUAGGAAAAAUGAGGAUUUAGGGUUUCAAAAUCUGGAUUGUAGCAACAAUAAUAACAACACUAGCGCUGAGAAAAAGAUCAACCCACCUGUUGUUGUAGCGCCGAAUCCAGGUGGUGCCGUGACUGGAGAUAAUAAUAUUUCUAGACUUUCUAGUUAUGAAAAUCAGGGCUUUAGGGGGAGUGGUGUCGGGCAGAAAGGACCCACUGGUCUAUCCGGUGGGUUUAGGGUUGAAUUGGGGCAGAAUUUUAGUAAAGUGAAAGACGUUGAAGAGCAGAGCGGUAACAAUACUAGCCUUAUUAGCUGCAGCAGCAACAACAAUAAUAACAAUGGAAGUGUUCAAGGGAAUAUCGGCCAGCAGUCUAGUGGUGGUGGGGGUGGUGUGAAUGUAGGCAAUAUACCCAAUGAGAGUAUGGGUAGGAAUGUGAAUGGAGGAAAUAUGAUUGGUAAUGGUACUGGUGCUGGAGCUGUGGGUGCCGGUGGAGGAGGUUCUGGUGGAGGUGGGACUUUAUUGUUUGUUGGGGAUUUGCAUUGGUGGACAACGGAUGCAGAGCUAGAGGCUGAGUUAUGCAAAUAUGGCGUGGUAAAGGAAUUGAAGUUUUUUGACGAGAAAGCAAGUGGAAAGUCAAAAGGGUACUGUCAAGUUGAAUUUUAUGACCCUGCUGCAGCUGCGGCUUGUAAGGAAGGGAUGAAUGGGCAUUUAUUUAACAGAAGGCCAUGUGUGGUGGCUUUUGCAUCUCCUUAUAGUGUGAAGAGGAUGGGAGAAGCUCAGGUAAAUAGGAAUCAGCAUAUGGCUCAGGCUUCACUUGCUCAAGCACGGAGGGGGAAUAAUGAUGGGGGGAAGAGUGGGGGUGAAGGUGGUUCAAGUGGUGGUGCUAUUGCAACUGGUGGAAAUUAUCAAGGUGGGGAUGGAAAUAGAGGAUAUGGGAGAGGAAAUUGGGGGAGAGGGAAUGGGCAAGGGGUGGGCGGUAGAGGCCUGGCUGGUCCAAUGAGGAAUAGGGCUGGUGGUGGGAUGGGUGGGAGAGGUAUAAUGGGAAAUGCUGGAAAUGGUUUUGGCCAGGGCAUUGGUGCUACCCCUCCUUUAUUGCAUCCCAAUUCAAUAAUGGGGCAAGGGUUUGAUCCAUCAUUUGGUGCACCUAUGGGGAGAAUGGGGACUUAUGGGGGCUUUCCUGGGGCUCCUACACCUCCUUUUUCAGGGAUUUUACCUUCCUUCCCACCUGUUGGAGGUAUGGCGUUGCCUGGAGUUGCUCCACAUGUAAAUCCAGCAUUUUUUGGAAGAGGAAUGCCAAUGAAUGGCAUGGGAAUGAUGCCUGCAACUGGUGUUGAUGGAACCAAUAUGGGAAUGUGGUCAGAUCCUAUUAUGGGUGGAUGGGUUGGGGAGGAGCAUGGUGGUGGAAGAGCUGGCGAGUCUAGUUAUGGUGAGGAAGCUGCAUCUGAUCAUCAGUAUGGUGAGGUUAGUCGCGAUAGAGGAGGUCGGCAGAACACCAUGAAGGAGAAAGAUAGAGCUUCAGAAAGAGAAUGGUCUGGAUCCUCUGAUAGAAGGUGCCGGGAUGAUAGAGAAGCGAGGUGUGAUAGAGAGAUGUCUAGAGAAAAAGACAUAGGUGGUCAUGAUCGUGACUGGUCAGAGAGAAGGCAUCGUGAUGAAAGGGAAGUUGGUAGAGAAAGGGAGAGGGAGCGUGAAAGGGAUAGGGAACAUUCUCGAGAUCAUGAGCGUGAGCGAGAAAGGGAUCGCAAUUGGGACUGGGAUCGUGAUCGUUAUAGGGAAGACCGGGAUAGAUAUGCUGAUCAUCAUAGGUACAGGGAUCGUGAAGUGGAGCAAGAUGAUGAUUGGGACAGGGGUAGGUCUUCACGGACUCACUGCAAAUCAAGAAUAUCACAAGAGGAGGACCAUCGUUCAAGAUCAAGGGAUUCUGAUUAUGGGAAGAGACGAAGGCUUACAUCAGAGUAACAUAGUAAACUGCCUACAAUUAGCUAAGUUCAGAAAGUAUUGGGUUCAUCAAAUUUAUUUUGAAUCUCAUUCAAGGGGUUUUUUGGGUUCUUCAUUUCCUGAGCUGCAGUUCUCAUUUCAUUACCUGAAGUUUCUCUGUUUGCUUCUUCCCAUGGCAGCAUGGAUGCAUUAUCUUGCAAAAGAGGUAAGCUGCUGAACUCCAGCAUAUUAGGAUUUCAAUUUUGUGGUUUUCUGGCUGUAGUUCAGGGAUCUUUUUUUAUUUCCAAUUUUUGUGUGGUUCUCUGUGUCAGUGUUACUUAUAAUUCAUGCAUUUGAAUUGGUUAAUAGCGGCAUCAAAAUCGCAGAACUACCUCAAAUAGUCCUCGUAAAUUGUAUAUUUUACCGUUGGCUAGCUUUUUUCAGUGGAAUAUAUGAACAAAUCAUUGACUUUAGUUUGACGAUAUUAAUAUUGCUUGAAUUUGCUUGUCUGUUCCUUGCAUUCCUCCAUCACCCUAAACUUGCCUUUUUUCAAAAUUAAAUUUCCUUCUCCAAUUGUUAUUUAUUUUUGUUGUGAAGGCUCUGUAGCAUUUUAACUGCUCCUAUAAUCUGGAUGUUUCAAACAUUUGUAAUUUUGAAGUCUUUUGUUGCGGCUUUAGCUUUUCAUUUUAGUUUUCUUUUGUGUUUACCUUUAUUUUGAAUCAAGUCCUUUCUUUAUAGCUAAUGUUUUUAUAGUUUUUCAUGAUUAUGGCAAUCAUGUUGAAAGCAGUAUGGUUGGAAGUGGAGGUUAAAUAUGGUUGAUGUUUUAAGUUCUGAACAUCCUUUGAUGUCCUAAGAAUGCUAAUUCAUACUGCUCAAAGCAAUAAACUGGUUGGUGGUUACUUAUGAGAAUGAUUGUUUGGGGCUCUGGUGACGAUUAUGGUUAAUAUUAGUAAUUGAAGGUGUGAAUUUCUGAUAAAGUUCAAAAUGUACUAAUUCAAAUUAGAUCAUGAAUUAGCUUUAAUUACAGCUGGACUAUAUUAAUUCAUCUGGCAUGUGAAAAUAAAAGUAAUCUCUCAUUCUCUUCUCGUAUAUGUAUUUUGUUGUGGCCUUCACAAGAUGCUUAGCUUUGCCCUUGCAUGCAUUUGUUUGCUUGUGUCAUGUAUCAUGAAAUACCUAUGUAAAUCCUGUGAAUGAGGUAUCAUCAUUUCUGUAUAUAUUUAAGCAUAUGAUGCAUUUUAGGACAUUUCCCUCCUUUCCCAACUUAAUUUUUGGUGAGUAUGACUAUGAACCCUUGGAUAUUUGGUUAUAGUUGGUGUAAAAUGAGAAGGCUAUGACCAUAUUAUUUUUUUCACAUGAAAUAUCAUUUCCUAAUGUGGUGAACAGUGCAUGUUUCUCAUAUGUUUGUUUUAUUAAUAGCUUGAAGGCAUAUGAUCUUGAGAAUCAAGGCUGUUCGACAGAGUUGUAGGUUAUAAACAGAGAUGACAAGUACCUCAACCUUCUAUUUGAGAGACACCGCAAUGAACCUGCUCUUUGCCUGCAUUGAUGUAGAAGCGGAACUUUUGGUUUUAAGUUGUUAGCUUUCCUUUCUCGUUUAUUUUUCAAUUAAUUAACACUUGAUCAUCGAACCAAUGUUGUGGAUUAUGUUAUGGCUUGAAAUUGCUGAAGUCUGGAUGUGGUAGAUUAAUAUAGAUCUUACUGUUUGAAUGUGAUGUAAUAGGAUUUAGAUUAGAGGAUGUUACUGAUGUGCCCUUUCUGAUUAACUAGUUGUAUCCUUUCUAGCUUCUUUCCUUUUGUUUUGAGUAUACCUCCAGAUUGGCCAUGCAGGUUUUGUGAAGAAUGUAGAUUCUUUUUUUAAUCAUUUCGGUGAAUGGCGAUUAUUUAAGCCCUGAGAAUUGUACAAAUGCAAUUUUUGUAUAUAUGAAUAUGGCUGAUCAGAUUUUUUAAUAUACAAAAGAUGUAUAUAUAUUUUUGGUGCACAGAUUUAUUAUUAUUUCUUUUUGUUUCUCCCUAUUUAAUUGGUUAAAGUAGAUUUGUUUCAUAUACUUUAUAACCUUGGUUCAAGUCAAUUAGGGCAAGAGGCAUGGAAGUCAUGCCACAAU